rnacentral:misc_RNA from 1 species
GUGAAUAAAUCUGUGUGGGUUGUUGCUGACUCUUCGGAGUAUGUGCACACUUGCCAGUUUCAUUCAUCCCUUCCACCUGUGCACUCUCUGUAGAUCAUCUUAUUGUAUUUGAUAUGCCCUCUGGGUGUGUCAGUGUGAGGACGUGCUCUUCUUGCUGUCCUUGGAUGAGGUGGUCUAUGUCUUUAUCAACUCUGUAUGUUAUUGAAUGUCUGUUCUGGGUUCUAUACAGACCCAUAAAACCUUAUA